AUCUAGCAUAGAAAAAAUAAUUGCUGCUGAUAACAAGAUUUAAUCUGUCAUUUACACUGAAAACUGAGCUGAAUGGGAGAAUCUCUUAUCAUGGCGGCUGAUGACGUGUAUGCGGCAAUUCAUUACAUUACUGCUGUGCCUAGCACUAAAUGGGUUACAGAGUAUCUAUGAUCUAAAUGUCGGGAGUUCAAGCGAAAUUUAGCACUGUGGUCAAAGGAAAAGGAAUACAUGUAUCUACCUUUUAGCAUCCCUGAUCUCCCCCCAAAACUAUGAACAUUGUGCAAUAAUUGGAUACAUAACCUUGGAAAUGAAUCUUUUGUUUUUGAACGGCAUUUUGAGAAAGAGUCUUUUAAAGAGGAUAUCAGGCUAAUCCAUUUUCUUUUGGAAACCAAUGAAAACUCAUAUGCAGAACCUAUUGACCAACCUGGACUAUCAGCAUCUAAGGAAACAGCUCAAUGAAGACAUGAAUAGUGACAAAAAUAUCCCACUCUCAAUCCAUAUUGAAGAAUAA